AGGUCUCGCUCUGUUGCCCAGACUGGUCCUAAACUCCUGGCCUCAAGUACUCCUCCUGCUUGGGCCUUCCAAAUUGUUGGGAUCAUAGGUAUGAACCACCAUGCCCAGCCUAGAAUUAGUAUUUCUAACAAGUUCUCAAAUGAUGCUGAUGCUGAAGGGGCCACACCUUAAGAACCACUGUCCUAGUGCAUUUCUCCGAUUUUACAGAUGCAGAAACCACGGCCCAGGGAAGACGCAGCUUGAGCAAGGUCACCGGCAGGUUCCUUUGCAGUAAAAUGGGAAUAAAAAGAAAAUCUAC
rnacentral:lncRNA from 1 species